rnacentral:rRNA from 1 species
UACGAAGGGGGCUAGCAUUGCUCGAAAUUACUGGACGUAAAAAGAGCAUAAACAGGUUAUCAAGUUGGAGGUGAAAGCCCAGGGCUCAACCUUGGAAUUGCCUUCAAAACUGAUAGCCUAGAGUAUGAUAGAGGUAAGUGGAACUCCGAGUGUAGAGGUGAAAUUCGUAGAUAUUCGGAAGAACACCAGUGGCGAAGGCGACCUACUGGAUCAUGACUGACGCUGAGGCUCGAAAGCGUGGGGAGCAAACAGG